rnacentral:rRNA from 2 species
GGCGUAAGCGCGCGCAGGCGGUCUUUUAAGUCUGAUGUGAAAGCCCGGGAUUUCCCAUUGAUCGUAAUUGGAAACUGGAAGACUUGAGUGGAAAAGAGGAGAGUGGAAUUCCACGUGUAGCGGUGAAAUGCGUAGAGAUGUGGAGGAACACCAGUGGCGAAGGCGACUCUCUGGUCUGUAACUGACGCUGAGGCGCGAAAGCGUGGGGAGCAAACAGGAUUAGAUACCCUGGUAGUCCACGCCGUAAACGAUGAGUGCUAAGUGUUAGAGGGUUUCCGCCCUUUAGUGCUGCAGCUAACGCAUUAAGCACUCCGCCUGGGGAGUACGACCGCAAGGUUGAAACUCAAAGAAAUUGACGG